CGUGUCGUGAGAUGUUGGGUUAAGUCCCGCAACGAGCGCAACCCUUGAUCUUAGUUGCCAUCAUUUAGUUGGGCACUCUAAGGUGACUGCCGGUGACAAACCGGAGGAAGGUGGGGAUGACGUCAAAUCAUCAUGCCCCUUAUGACCUGGGCUACACACGCGUGCUACAAUGGACGGUACAAAGAGCUGCAAGACCGCGAGGUGGAGCUAAUCUCAUAAAACCGUUCCCAGUUCGGGUUGUAGGCUGCAACUCGCCUACAUGAAGCUGGAAUCGCUAGUAAUCGCGGAUCAGCAUGCCGCGGUGAAUACGUUCCCGGGCCUUGUACACACCGCCCGUCACACCACGAGAGUUUGUAACACCCGAAGUCGGUGGGGUAACCUUUU
rnacentral:rRNA from 1 species